rnacentral:lncRNA from 1 species
AAAAGUUUUCAUGAUCUGUAGACAUGAUGUAAAAAGGUUUCAGAAUAAACUAUAGGAUUUCAUAGGAACUUUACUUGUUUGAGCAGGUAAAUUUGGAAACUAGAGUGUUUUCCUUUAAUGAAUCCAGUCUAUUUGGUGUAUUAGAUAAUUAUUAUCAUUCAGUUCAUGUCUGUUUCUUUAGUUCUAUUAGAGACCCUUUGUUCUUUCUUUGGUAAACAGUGAUCUAAAUUAUCAUAUAUGCUGCUGUAUUCUACAGUGAUUAAUUAGCAUAAGCUAUUCAAACACACCAAGGCAUUUCUAUUUUAAAAUCCAUCCUUGAAGAGAAAAUAACACUAUAAGAUAAUUGCUAGUAACAGUAUUCAUUUUCUAUAUAUCUAUUUAACUUAUUUACAAUGUGAAUUUUAAAAGUGAGUAUUUUGUUUGCACAUUUCUUUUUCCUGUUUGCAUUUUACUCUACAGUCUCCACUCACUUUUUCCAGUUCCUGCUUUAAGCCCUUGCUUACCUUCAUGUGAUCUUCGUCUGACUCUUAGGAGUUAUUUUUCUCUAGCUAAAUUCUUUUAAAAUCUAGCCAUGUUUUAGAUAUAAAUACAAAACAAAGUGAAUUUGAAUCCUUUUUUUUUUUUUGCCAAAAUAAUCCCAAUUUUAAAAAAUUUUUAUUCUAAUGGAAACCAUGUAAAUUUGCUGCUUGAUUCUGAGUACUUCACCUCCAGGAACUGUUUCUUAGUGAAUUUUUCUCUGCCUUAAAUUUGGCUAUUUUGCCCUGACUAUGACCUUUCUUAUUUCAGUCUAACUGGCUAACAAAUGCAAAACAAAUCUCAAAAGAGGACCAUUGUUUUCACUUCUAAAUAACCUUCUUCAGGGAUUUUCAAGCUAUGCUCUGGGAUCCUAAGAGUCUUUGAAGAUGCCUUCCUGGGAGUGGGGUUAGAGUAGGUGGGACGCUUGGGCCUUCUGCCAAACCUCAGCUUCACUUUAUCCUGCUAUGUUUUCAGGGCCCAGUAAUUACAAAAAAAAAAACUUUUUUAAACCAGCAACUUAAUUUAAAGACAUUCAUGAAUAAUUCAUACUAUUAGUAAUUAAUGAUAGUAACAGUAGCUUUUGUUUAUAGAGGUUUGUCAUGUGCCAGACUCUCCAAGUAUUUUCUAACGUUAAUCUAUUAAUCCUUAAAACAACCCUAUAAGAUUAAGCAUUUUUGCUAUUCCUAUUUUACAAAAGAGGAAACUGAGAUUUAAGGGUAUCAAAUAACUUUCCCAAGGAACCACAGCUGCUAAGUGACUCUGACUCAAAUCUGGGUGUGCCAGUUAACAUCUUUGUUUAAGUCAAGAGUGGCAAAUACUAGGCAAGUGUGCUCCCACCCUGUGCUCCCACCCCUGAGGCAGACAGAGCUAAUAGCAGAAAACAGUGUUUCUUACUGAUCACCAACACAGCCUUAGAAUCCUUCUCCACAAGGUACUAUGGGCAGUCACUCCUAACCCAUUGGUGUUGGCCAUCUUCUUACCCUACGUUAAGGUACUGGUUAUAGAAAAACACCAAAUUACCUUUGAUCCUAGAUGAAACUAUUUGAUGAACAAAAAUCUGUAAUGGUACCAUCCUCAUUCUUGCUAACUUCUAAUAGAGGCUGUUUGUAUUUGUAUCUUGUAUAAAUUCCUAAGUUAGUUAUAAACACUAUAUAACCCUCAACAUCAGGAUAGUUAAGGUUUUUUAAGCUCCUCUUUGCCUGCCUGUGGGAACAAAGACCUAAAGCAAUUUAUAUUCUUAACCUAAUAUUUUAGAUGUGAGGUGGAGGUGGUGAGGGAGAGGGUGGAGAACUUACAAUUGAGGUAAGUCUGCCAGUUUCCAUAUUGUAGAAUGGAGAAUUCAGUGGUUUGAAUAACUUUCACUAUUUCCACUACCAGCACGCCCUGCCCAGGAAUGGCAGAGCCAUAGGAUUGGGUGAAUGCCCAAACAUUUAUAAAAGGAACACCCACGCCCAACCCCCAGCUGAUUUUUCAGUUGUUCUUGCCAGGAGGUAACCAGUAGUUCCUGUGCUGUGCCCAUUCUUACCAGAGAAAGCUAGGUGCAAUCUAACUUUUUCCUUUUAGGUCCAAGACUUUUAAAAUGACUCAUAGUAGUUUCUGCUCAAGACACAUCAAAAGAGAUCCAAGACUAUAUUUAGGAACUUGCUAUGAAAUUACCUGUCAGUUGCAACCAAUUUUUCCAAUACAGUAUAUAUAUAUAGUCAGUAGCAAGUAAUUUAUAAUUUUCAAUACACAAAAAUAACUUGUCAUUUUUUGUUGUUAACUGGUAUCAAAAUCUAGAUUUCCUUAAAUGGAUGGACAUCCCUACAGUGAAAUUAUAUAACAUUUGUUUAGCAUACACAUUAGUGUACUGGAAUGACCUUCAUGUGAUCCAUUAUCAUGGAACCCAUUAACUCCUUGUUCAUAAGAAUGUUUGAAUAUGUCUUAAAAAUGUUCUCUAUUUGAAUAAAGUUUCUUCCU